AUUGCUUCUUGGCAUUUUAGCUAAGAUCAAGUGUAGUAUCUGUUCUUACUAGUUUAAAAUAGGUGUUCUUACUUUGGAUCUGUAGACCUAUAAGUGGUCUAUGGAUAGAAUUCAGGGGUCCUUCAACCUGAAUGAGAGAGCAAUUGCAUGUUUCUUUUUACUAGCUUCU
rfam:Mustela putorius furo unplaced genomic scaffold scaffold00074, whole genome shotgun sequence.